GGCGGGAGGGGGGGGGGGGAGGCAGGCUGUGGUAGCAUGGCGGCCGCCGCGGGAGCGGGCCGAGGGGUCGGGGCCGGUGCCGACUUGGCGGACGCCUGCCCCGGCGCGGACAGCGGGAACGUCUCCCAGAGCCACAGCAGCGCUUCCGGCCUCGGGGAACCGGAGGACGAGGACGCUUCGGAGGCGUCGCUCAGCGCCACCGCCGCCGCCUAUUCCGCCUACUUGCUCGCCGACCGCAGCCUCUUCAGCGAGCAGAUAGAAAGCCUAGACAAGAGUCUAGAAGAUUUGCUGACCAGAGUGGAUGAAUUUGUGGGAAUGCUGGACAUGAUUCGAAGUGAUUCCUCUCAAGUUGUCAACGAAAGCAUACCUCAGAUUUACACAAAAGCUACAGAAAUGAGACAGAUAUACAGGAAGAUUGACAAACUAGAGGCUUUUGUGAAGAUGAUUGGAAAUAGCGUAGCUGGACUGGAAGAACGGGUCAUAAAGGCAGAAACAGACCUUGGAGCUUUUCCGAGCACAUUCAAGAAAAUCUUGCAUACAAUCAGCAUGCCAUCCUUCCUUAAUAAACCGUCGUCUUCACGACAACAACAGACCCUCUAUGAACCUCCAGUCCUCUUCAAGACUGAAGACUAUUUUCCGUGUCUUAACGAAGCACCUUAUUGAUGAUUUUUGCUUUGGGAUUGAUAUGAAUCAGCCAGAGUAGAGACUGCCAAGUGAACAAAAGAAAUGCUAACCUCAAAAGAGCUGCAUUUCUGAGCAUUGUUGAUGGCAUAUUGCCAUUCUGAUUCUCAUUGUCUUCCUUCAGGCAGUAUUUUCAGGUAAUCUUUGUUUGUGUACGUUAUUUCAAAAGUCUUCCUAAAACACAGUAUAAAUUUUCAGAUUAUAUUUGGGAAAGAACUUAAGAAUCCUUCUGUAUUAAUUUUUUUUUUUUUAAAUAGGGACAUAAUAGGAAACAUACUUUUAUAUAUAAAUCUUUUAACACAUAAAUAUCUGUGCUGUUGCAAGUGUAAAUACCUAUACCACAAGGAUGUCUUUUUGGUUGUGUUUUUUUUUUUUUUUUUUUCCCCUUCCUUCUAAUGUACUGAUUGAAGUGAAAAGAAAAACUAUGCAUAAAAUCAUCUACUUCAAGUUUUGGAACCUGGUCCCUGCAGUUUGGACAGAGCAAUGCGCUGUGUUGGGAUGUACAACUUGCAAGGGGAGGACUUGAAAGAUCGGCGAGGAGUCAAGGACAUGGCUUGAUGCACGUGAUCUAGUCCCAGUUCACAAAGCCAACAUCCUGCCCCUGCUGAUGAUCAUCAGGUCGCAGUGACCUGAGCUGCUAAUUAUUGCAGCAUUGUAUUGUUUGAUGUGUAACCAGGUGGGCUUGAUGUAUAUAUAACCUGCUGUCAAAAAGGAGAAGUAUCCAAGUUGAGUCAGGGACGUCCCUGGACUGAGUCUCUAUCAGGUGCCUGACCACACUGUCCGCUUUUCCCUCGCAACCCUCCAUGUGGUUACUGGGGCUUCCUGCACUGAUUGCAGUGUGACACUGUCAGGAUUUUCUUCAUGAGCAAGUGGUCUAGAAAACAACCUUUAAAAAAGAAAAAGCAAAAGCUGAAAUUCCCGCAAUCCUAGGACUUUAAAACUGAGAGCUGGCACUAAGUAUGAUAGGAGCAUCUGAAAUGUUUCUCUGAACAUCAAUCAAUCUAAAAGGUUUGCAGAGAACUGCAAACUGCCAGAAAAGCUGGUUCAGGUUGGUUCAUACAAAAAAAAGAAAGAAAGGAAUGGUAAGAGUCUCAUGCAGGAAUGGAAGAGGUGGAAAAUAGCAUAGCCAGGAGAUAAGCCAGGGCAAAUGCUAGGGUGUAAACUUGUGGUGACAGAGCUUUCAGCAGCAUGAACAGAUAAGGGCAAGAUCCCUGAACCGGGAGGUAUGAAAGAAGAUCCACAACAGACCUGACAUACACGUGCAAUUUUAUUAUUUCUUCACAGUUUAGGAGCUUUUUAAUUUUUUUGCCUGAGGGUGCACUACUCCCAAGAACACAGUUUUAGCAGGGGCUUUAACUGUACUAGAGGAACUGUGAAAGGACAGUCUGGACCAGGUCACCGUUACUGCCUCUUUCGUGAAAGCAGUAGGACUUGCAGGUAGAAUUAGCCAGACCAUUAAUCUGCUCUGGCUAAAAAUCAGUCCAGCCCCAUCAUCGAUGUCCUGGCACAGGGGUGAGGGGUGACACCUCUCUACUCCCAGCCAUGCCCCUCAGAAGGUAAGCAAAGCCGUCUGCUGAUGGGACUCACUUUCCCUGGCAGUGUCACUGGGGAGGUGUGCAGCCCCGGGGGAUGCCUGCUAUGGAAUUAGCAUCUGUUUUCCUCGUCCUUCUUUGAUUAGGCCUUCCCUCUACAAGGGUGGCUUUGCAAUUUGAUUGGAAGCAUAGAGGGAAAGAAGAACAAAAAAACUAGGCGUUGGGAGUAGCCUCGUCGUCACUGCAGAGGUGUCUGUGUGCUGUGUGUCCUGCUCAGAUGCCUACUUCCAGCAACGUUUUAGCAACUCCAAUACCAACUGCUAGUGAUAAGCAGUGCCCUCGUUCUUGGUGUUAGUGGUUGCUGGGAUUUUUUUUGAAAGUGUGCCUGUUGCAUCUAAAAUCUACUGUAUUGGAAGACUGUUAAGGGAAAAAGUAUUUAUUGAGGGGAAAAAUACUAAACAAUAUAAUUGAACAAAAAUCAUGUUUUCUUUCUGGAUUUAUUAGCUUGACUUUUCCUGGAUUUAAUUGUGUUUCUGUAGUCAAAGGAAGGAAAACACAAAGCAGUAGUGCCAAAGAAAUCUUGCCUAAGGAAAAUCAACUAUGAUGUUGUUAGCUAAUAAGGUAGAUGAGCAGUGCCAUUGCAAAUUCAUUGCAUGUACCAGUGAGAUAAGUCAAGACUCUGCCAAGUGAGUUGGAUGAAAUUAUAAGGGCAAAGAAUCAACAAUAGAAAGAGAUGAGCAAAAGCAGGGCUGGAUGAUACUCCAGUGCCCAUCUCGGUUAGCAUUCCGGCACUCAUUAGUUUGCACUAUGGAACUGUCUCUGGGUGUGAAAUGGAUUAUUUUUGGAUUGAAUAUAGCCAGAGAUAUGCUACAGCUGCUGUUGGGUAUUCAUUCCAUGCUGCUGGCCUUGAGCUAGUCUUAGGUCAAGAUGAAACUCAGUGAAAUGUUUAGCUUUAACAUCAGGUUUCUCUGUACAAAUCUGCCUCUGCUGUGCUGAACUACUUGCUAGGACAGGCAUAGCCCCGGGGUGGUAAACAGCACGCUUUAGGUUCAAAGUCUGAACCAAAGCUGUGUGAUGAAUGCAGAUGUGAUGGUGCUGGAGUUUAUAUUUGAGGACUUGAAUGGGUCACUAAUACGGAAAUGAAAUUCAUGCAGGGGAAUUGUGAAGAGAAGAGCCUGAUGUAAAGGUCAGGUCGGAAAGCUGCUGGAGAGGAGAUGAUGGAGGAGUGACAUGGAGGAACCGAUAUAGACCUUCUAACUGAAUUGAGACGUAAUAAGGAAGCGUACAGGAGAUGGAAGCAGGGGCAGGUGACCCAGCGGGACGAUAGAGCUGCUGUUUGGUCUUGCAGGAACAGGGUUAGGAAAGCCAAGGCCAACCUGGACUUGAAUCUGUUGAGGGACGUGAAGGGCAACAGGAAAGGCUUCUACAAGUACAUAAACAGCACAAGGAAGACCAGGGAAAACGUGGCCCACUGCUGAAUGCAGCAGGUGCCUGGUGAUGCAGGACAC